rnacentral:rRNA from 1 species
GUUGGUGGGGUGAUGGCCUACCAAGGCGACGACGGGUAGCCGGCCUGAGAGGGCGACCGGCCACACUGGGACUGAGACACGGCCCAGACUCCUACGGGAGGCAGCAGUGGGGAAUAUUGCGCAAUGGGCGGAAGCCUGACGCAGCGACGCCGCGUGGGGGAUGACGGCCUUCGGGUUGUAAACCUCUUUCGACCGGGACGAAGAGUGAUUGACGGUACCGGUAGAAGAAGCACCGGCCAACUACGUGCCAGCAGCCGCGGUAACACGUAGGGUGCGAGCGUUGUCCGGAAUUAUUGGGCGUAAAGAGCUCGUAGGCGGUGUGUCGCGUCGGCCGUGAAAACCUGGGGCUUAACUCUGGGCUUGCGGUCGAUACGGGCAUCACUGGAGUUCGGCAGGGGAGACUGGAAUUCCUGGUGUAGCGGUGAAAUGCGCAGAUAUCAGGAGGAACACCGGUGGCGAAGGCGGGUCUCUGGGCCGAUACUGACGCUGAGGAGCGAAAGCGUGGGGAGCGAACAGGAUUAGAUACCCUGGUAGUCCACGCCGUAAACGUUGGGCGCUAGGUGUGGGGGCCAUUCCACGGUCUCUGUGC